AAAAAUGAAAGUCUGCAUAUCCUUGAACAAAUGAAAGAUAUGGGAAUACUAGUUGGGAAAGGUGGAUUUUAUGGAAAUGUUUUAAGGAUUACACCUCCACUUUGCUUCACUACGGAAGAUGCAGAUUUUCUUGUAGAUGUGAUGGACUACACAAUGUCAAGGAUGUAAAGCAUAUGCA